rnacentral:tRNA from 1 species
UCUCCUAUAGUUCAGUGGUACAAUAUCCGAAGUAUUGAUCGGAAGGUCAUAGCUUCGAGUCCUAGUGAAAA